rnacentral:rRNA from 1 species
AUGUGGUUUAAUUCGAUGCAACGCGAAGAACCUUACCUGGUCUUGACAUCCACAGAACUUUCCAGAGAUGGAUUGGUGCCUUCGGGAACUGUGAGACAGGUGCUGCAUGGCUGUCGUCAGCUCGUGUUGUGAAAUGUUGGGUUAAGUCCCGCAACGAGCGCAACCCUUAUCCUUUGUUGCCAGCGGUCCGGCCGGGAACUCAAAGGAGACUGCCAGUGAUAAACUGGAGGAAGGUGGGGAUGACGUCAAGUCAUCAUGGCCCUUACGACCAGGGCUACACACGUGCUACAAUGGCAUAUACAAAGAGAAGCGACCUCGCGAGAGCAAGCGGACCUCAUAAAGUAUGUCGUAGUCCGGAUUGGAGUCUGCAACUCGACUCCAUGAAGUCGGAAUCGCUAGUAAUCGUAGAUCAGAAUGCUACGGUGAAUACGUUCCCGGGCCUUGUACACACCGCCCGUCACACCAUGGGAGUGGGUUGCAAAAGAAGUAGGUAGCUUAACCUUCGGGAGGGCGCUUACCACUUUGUGAUUCAUGACUGGGGUGAAGUCGUAACAAGGUAACCGUAGGGGAACCUGCGGUUGGAUCACCUCCUUA